UGUGGGAGCGGGCUUGCUCGCGAAAGCGGUGGGUCAGUCACUAAUGAUGUUGAAUGUGAUGGUCCCUUCGCGAGCAAGCCCGCUCCCACA
rnacentral:misc_RNA from 1 species